rnacentral:rRNA from 1 species
UACGUAGGGUGCAAGCGUUGCCCGGAUUUAUUGGGCGUAAAGGGCGCGUAGGCGGCUCUGCACGUCCGUUGUGAAAUCGCCCGGCUCAACUGGGCGGGGUCAGCGGAUACGGCAGAGCUUGAGCAAGCUAGGGGGCAAUGGAAUUCCCGGUGUAGCGGUGAAAUGCGCAGAUAUCGGGAAGAACACCCGUGGCGAAGGCGACUCUUUGGCCUGUAACUGACGCUGAGGCGCGAAAGCGUGGGGAGCAAACAGG